rnacentral:rRNA from 1 species
UAGCGGAGAAAUUCCAAUCGAACCUGGAGAUAGCUGGUUCUCUCCGAAAUAGCUUUAGGGCUAGCCUCAAGUGAUGAUUAUUGGAGGUAGAGCACUGUUUGGACGAGGGGCCCCUCUCGGGUUACCGAAUUCAGACAAACUCCGAAUGCCAAUUAAUUUAACUUGGGAGUCAGAACAUGGGUGAUAAGGUCCGUGUUCGAAAGGGAAACAGCCCAGGCCACCAGCUAAGGUCCCAAAAUAUAUGUUAAGUGGAAAAGGAUGUGGCGUUGCCCAGACAACUAGGAUGUUGGCGUAGAAGCAGCCAUCAUUUAAAGAGUGCGUAAUAGCUCACUAGUCGAGUGACACUGCGCCGAAAAUGUACCGGGGCUAAACAUAUUACCGAAGCUGUGGAUUGUCCU